rnacentral:tRNA from 1 species
CGCGGGGUGGAGCAGCUCGGUAGCUCGCUGGGCUCAUAACCCAGAGGUCGAUGGUUCGAAUCCGUCCCCCGCUACAA